AUUAUAUAUAUAUAUAUAUGUAAUAUAUAUAUAUAUAUAUAUUCAUGGAAAAUUCAUUCUGAUGAUUUGUCAUGGCUUGGAGCCUAUUGAUUUGCUUCUGGGCUGUGUGCAGUGUUUUCUCUCCAACAAGGGGCUACAAAAAGGCUGGAAGAUUGUGCACCACACAUUCUCUGAGACAUCCCACGUUGCACACUUUGUUAACUUCAGACUUCACUCUACACUAUACAGUACCUUGUUGAUAUAUUCAGUAAAGGCUUAUUUUAAAAGAAAACCA